UACAUCUGUUAAUGGUUGGUUUACUCUGAAUUCACAUGGAGUGGAGUGGAGUGGAGCCGAGCCUGCCUCAACGACACUGAACUACAGCCAUGGGAUGAUGGGAGCGUGCCUCAACGAGGAGAGCAAUAGUGAGGAGAGCUAUACAUCCUAGCAAGUGGCUGAUUGGAGUUGCACUGCUGCAGCGAAGAAAAUACUGUCAUGUAGGAUUAUAUUUUGCAGUCGCAUUUCUUUAUGUUUUUCCUCUAAUAUGCAAGGAGGUAUCAGCAGCACCAUAUGGAAUUCAAAGAGGGGCUCAACAAUAUUUGGGGUCUCGGAUAGCUCUCUGGCUUGACAGGCACUCAGGUAAUUAUUUGAUUGUUUUAAGAUCAUUUUGCAACAGUUGAUUGAUAUUGCUAAAAUAUUAUUCUAUUGGUUCAAGUCUUUAAAGACAUACUGGAGUUAACACUAUUCUAUGUAAUAUUUUUGUGAUACCUCAUUUUUCUCACCUUUUUCCUUUUCUUCUUUAGAUUUGUGGAUAUUUCUGUCAAAUUUUUACUUGUCUUAGUGAUGUUCUGUUCUUCUUCUUGAUAUAUUUGUUAAAUUACAUAAUCCUUUAGUUAAAAGGAAAUAGCAAGUCUUUGUAAACAUUGCCUGAUUUCAGUUUCUUCUCACUUGGUCAUGAAGCCACCAAGUGCAGAACAGAGGAUAGCAUGCAUGAUUGUAGGUUUAUUUAACAUUUUGUUGACCACAUGUUCAGAAUCAUAUUAGAAAGAUUGGUUGUAACUGAUCCAUAUCUAUUGGUUUCUUUUGUCCGCUAAUGCAAUCAAGCUAUAUAUGUGUAUUUCAUAUCCUCUGCAAGCAUUAGGUAUGAAUAAAAUCAUUCAACAUUGUUUCAACCAAAUAAAACUAUAGCAAACAAGGAAUUGACACUCCUCAACUUACUGAAAUGGGGCAAACCAAUGAUGAAAUUAAAAUACAUUUUGCCUCGCUUAUUAUCUUUAUUUAUUUACAAAACAGUAUAUGAACUCCAUUCUGUAUAGAGACAAUAAUACUGACUGUAAAACUAUUUUUACGUAGCCUUGUAUCUUUCUAGUAUUCAGAGGCAGCAGUUCCAAAAACGCCUUUUCGAUCAAAUCCUGGUGCUCAGGAGGAUUCAUGCUGAAGUAGCGGUACUGUUGAUGUCUAUAUUUCUUGCCAAAAUUAUCUCCAUCAUAGAAUCCCUAAAGUCCUUGUAGGGAUUGAAUGAAUGCUCAAGUAAGGCUACGCAUAAUUUAUUUGUAAUUCAAGACUUAGAGACCUUGUAAUAGUAGUGACUCCAUCAGGCAGAAUAGUAACAGAGUUGACACUUAUGACUCCAUCAAGCAGAAUAGUAACAGAGUUGAUAAUAGGCAAAUGAAGCCAAACCAAGGACCGUAGUGACUCUACCUAUAGAUAUUCUCUUGAAGUCAAAUUGGGGCAGUUCACAAACACAUCAGAGCAUGUCGCGUCACCCCUUCCGGGUCGAAAACUAGCAGCAGAGCCUGUGAAGGUAGCAUACAUAGGAAGGAGAGGUAGAAGCUAGAGGGGCAGCAGGGGCCCUUCCUUCAUAUUAUUGCGAGAGAUUCACCCACACCAGUUUAUGAACCAUCUAUGUAAGUAGGUAGAACGGAGGGAUCUGAACUAGUAGGCCCUACUAUUCUAUAGGGUGGCGUUGGGUUGGAUGGCUUGAUUGAUUGGCAUAUAGAAAAGAGAGAGAGAGUCCACUUGGGCUAAUCAAUCGUUCGUACAGGAUUCUCACGUGGGUGGGUAUUUCGCAACAGGGGUAAUAAGGCUAUGGUCCAGUGUUUUACCUAACUUCUCAGUGGAGGGAAGCUGUUUUAUGCUGGACCUAUUCUAUUGUCUACGGGCAAGUGGAUAGAUGAAAGGGUACAAAAAAGGAAGGAAUGAAGUCACGUAAACCUAUGUUAGCAUAGGUCAGGCAUCCCUUGGCAGGGGAAGAGGACUAAUAAUGAGACUGUGGCAUACUUCUCCAGCCGCCCCUCGCACGGUAAAAGAGAAAGUCCCUAUAUAGAGGCGGUUGAUCACCCACCCAGUGAGAGCAACAGGGGGAAAGGCAGUUGAUCUUGAUUUAGAUCCAUCCAUUCCAUUCAUCGCAGAUCAAGAGCCAUCACCUCCAGUCUUCACGCCUAGAUCCAUAUCCAGUUGUUGUAGAUUGAGUUUCGAUUCGUUUCCCUGGUCGAGACCUAGAAGCAUCCAUAGCAAAGCAUGGGCAUAAGCAGCUAAUAGAGCAGAGAUAGAAGCAGCACAUGUUUAUUUUAUCGUUGACCAGUGUCACCUUCGAGUGACAGAUCCAAUUCCACGUGCAUAGUCCCCUGGCAAAGAUCCAAAUCCGGUGCCAGAAGCGGGUUAAGUGCAAAAUACAUAUACAUAUACAUAUCCUGUUCAAAUGAAGCCAAACCAAGGACCGUAGUGACUCUACCUAUAGAUAUUCUCUUGAAGUCAAAUUGGGGCAGUUCACAAACACAUCAACACAAAACGUUCACCUACUGUAACUUAUCAAUUAUAUUCCAAUAAUUAAGCCAUGGUUUGGCCCAAGUUAUUGGCCAAAAAGAUUAGACAACAAUUCCUCGAGGCCCCUUAAAAUAAUAUGUAGGACAUAGGGUAGUUAAAAUAAUCUAGAAAACGUACAAAUAAAAUGCCUUCUGGUCCAUUUAUAUUCACGAACACACCUGACUAUAUAUCAUUCAGAUUUAAAUAUGAAUGGAAUAUGUGUGGAGGCUCUGCUGUUACUCUAAAAAAUAUCCUUGAAUGUAGGUCACAGAUUCAUGCUUGUCUAGUGAUGUUUCCUACAAUGAAGAGAUUGUGAGUAUAAGGGCGUUGAAAAUGUUUUCAUUCCCUUCAACUUACCUUAUCCUGUAAAUACUAACAUACCUUUGUAUUAAUGUGUAGUUACAGUUUAAACUGAGUUUGCAAACUUAGCUAUAUGUAAUUAUAAUUUGUAUGUUAGCGUAUAUCAUUGUUCCUUGGGGACUUGUCAUUUAUGUGUCUUUACCAAAACAAAGGGAAAUCUUGAGGAACAAUUAAUUUUUGAAUAUUUGUAAUACAUAUAUGGGCUAUACAAUUAUGUAGUUGUAUACAACUACAUAUUGAAUGCAGUUUAUGAAUAAUAUUUUUUAAGCUUUUAAUGUAUAUAUGUAAGCAUAUGUCUGCACAAUUUACUUAAAUACAAUUGUAUAUCUACUUUUGUUUACCUAUAACUGUGAGUUUGUCAAUUUGCAUGCAAAGAAAUGUAUGUUUGUAGUGUUUGCAUACAUUCAUUUGUAUGUUAGCAGCUAUUCAAAUGCACCUCUUAUAUAAGUGGUUUAUUUAAUUAAAAGUUUAGUAACUCAUAUUUGAAAAUUGAAAUUGAAAGUUAUGUCCAUGCAAUUAUAUCUGUAAAUUUUGUAGGCAUACAACAAUAUUUGUAAAUUUAGCCCUUUCAAGUAGAACAAUAAUCAUGAACUUAGAAAAGUAGAUUCUGUUUUGAUGGAUUUAUGAUACUGACUAUGUGGUACUAUUUUAAUGGGGUUUAUGAUAUCGACAUAAACUGCAAACACAUUCAAUAUGUAGUUGUAUACAACCAUAUAAAUGCAUAUAUGUAUUACAAAUAUUAAAAAAUAAAUUAUUCCUGACAUUACAAAAUGUAUACAUGUGUUACAAAAUUUGCAGAUGUAACUGCAUGCACAUAAAUGUUGCAGACAUACAAUUUUAUAUAUACAAAAAUUGUACACAGACAAUUGCAUGGAUAUAAAAUUUGUAUACAUGCACUUACAUAACAAGUGACGUAAUAAACCAAAGUGUGUAUAAUUAGAGUGAUAAUUAGGAUUAAAAAAUGUACAAGUGUGAGGGCUUAUAAAUUAUAUUCUAUUCAUAUUCUACUGAUAAAUUUUGCACCAAUGUUAUUGAAAAAUGGGUUAUUAAACUUUUUAUUUAAAACUUUAGGAGGUGUCUCUGUAUAGCUGUUGACAUACACUUGCAUGUAUGCAAACUCUACAGACAUACAUUUCUUUGCAAGCAAAUUGGCAGACAUACAAUUAUAGGUAAACAAAAAGUAGAUUUACAAUUAUAUGUAAGUUGGUUUAUGGAUUAUGGAUGCAAUUUUUCCAGAACAAUGAGAAAGGUUGGUGGAACUCAAACUAAUGAUAUACCUAAACUUAUAUAAUCCAUUGUUGGUUUAUGAGUGCAUGUUUUAUUUAGUUUUCAAGAAGUCAAUGCAUAAAUAGAACAUAUAGAAAUGCAAAGUAUUGCAUUCAAUUCAUCUUUCAGCUAACAAAAAUUUUCUCAAAGCAUUUUCCUUCCCAUUCUAUGGUCGAACAGAAUAACCUGAUCAAUGCCAAUUAUAGAUACUGAUUGUGAUUUUUCAAGAAUUUUUUGUGAAUUGAUUUCUUUACAAGAGUACAACUGCUCAAUCAAUAUACAAAUAGAUCAACGCAUAUAAUAGUAAUACAUAAGACCGUUGCCAAACAAUCAUCCGGAUCCUUCCCUUACAGUUUUUUUCCCAAUAAUCAAUCCUAGCAACAUUCAUAAAAGAACCAAGGUCUAAAAUACAAUCUCCUAGAAUAUUCUUAUUCAAUAUGCAUAGUUUAUAUCUGAAAGUGCAAUAUGUCAACAUUCAAAUCCUUAUCCGAUAACAAUAUAUUUAAGCAUGACUGAGUAGUAACUGAGUUGAUUGUUGAUAAUAGGCAAAUGAAUCCAAACCAAGGACUGUUAGUGACCCUAUAUAUAGAUAUUGAUCUGUUGCCAAACAAUCAUUGGGAUCCUUCCCUUACAGUUUUUUUUCCCAAUAAUCAAUCCUAGCAACAUUCAUAAAAGAACCAAGGUCUAAAAUUCAAUCUCCUAGAAUAUUCUUAUUCAAUAUACAUAGUUUAUAUCUGAAACUGCAAUAUGUCAACAUUCAAAUCCUUAUCAGAUAACAAUAUAUUUAAGCAUGACUGAGUAGUAACUGAGUUGAUUGUUGAUAAUAGGCAAAUGAAUCCAAACCAAGGACUGUUAGUGACCCUAUAUAUAGAUAUUGGUGAAAAGUCAAUACAUAUCAGAACAUGGUAUCGACACAAAAUAUUCAUGUCCUGCAACUUAUUGUUUGAAUGUAAAUCUGUCUGAUCAUCCACUUAUUGUUUGAAUGUAACUUUGUUUGAUCAUAUAAAUCACGAUCUAUAUGAUUUCAGUGAAACAAGAGGCCAUUAUUCAGCCCAGUCAAUAUUGGUCGUACUUUAUCUGAGAUUUAAUUUGGAAACAAAUGAUUAAACUUUCUAUCUUGGCUUGGACUUUUCUGGACUGUUGAUAUCUUUUAUUGCUAAAUCUAUGUGGCACAAUUAAAAUGCUCUAAACUCGUAGCAAUAUCGUCAGAGUACUCACAUCAUUUUUUUAAUUACAUAUCCAGUGGUUGAGCACAUGUUCAGAAUUAUAUUAGAAAGAUUGGUUGUAAUUAAUCCAUAUCCAUUGGAUUGGAUUGUCUAGUCCGCUAAUGCAAUCAAGCUAUAUAUCUGUAUUUCAUAUCAUCUACAAGCAAUAGGUAUGAAUAAAAUCAUUUGACAUUGAUUCAACCAAAUAAAAUAAUAGAAAACAAGGAAUUGACACUCCUCAACUUAUUGAACUGGGGCAAACCAAUGAAGAAAUUGAUAUACAUUUAGCCUCACUUAUUAUCUUUGCUAGUCCCUCCCUUUUAAGGUCAAGACUAAUGUUUUCUCUUCACUUUUUGCAAUUAGUAUGCAGGUUGGAAACUGUGUCAUCGAAGAAGAAAUGCAGAUGCUGCAGUCUCAUUUUCAAAUUUUAUUUGGCUGGCUUUUCCUUUUUCCUGAUUGGAAGCUCAUAUUUUUUCCUAUGAUUUUUUAUUUUUCUAUUUGAAAAUAAAUGAAAACUAUGUGGCCCAAUCCCUUAAAAUUUUAGACAGUACACAAUGCUGGAUAGGAACUAUCAUGGUAAGCCUUUUGACUUUCUCCCACUAGAUCUAAGAUUCUAAAGCAUAUUAAGAAGUAAUUUUCUAAUUUUUGUCAAGUUUCCAAUUGGAAACUAAAGUCCAAUCCACCCCUACUAGAGGAUACAAAUCUUGUCAAUCAAGCAAUGUAAGAUUCUAUUGUUGCUCCAAAGAAACACUGGAGGCUAACUUGCACUCACCACAGCAUGAGCUGAAGGGGAUAGAGAAAAUUCACCCAGCAAAGGAGCCAUCUCAUUUAAUUUCUUAGAAGAAAAUGAAAGAAUUUAAGGAGUCUUCACAGCAUGAACUAAAAGGGAUGUGGGAUCAUCUUCAUCCAUUAAUGGAGCCUUCUCAUUUAACAUCUCAGAAGACAAAGAAGGAUUUUGAUGAGCCGCAAAAGAGGGCUCUGUAAUAGCAUCAGCUACCUGAGAGGGUUUUUAAUACAUGUAGAUUCCUACAAAGAACCUAGGACAAUUAAAUGGUGGGGAAGAACAUCUCUCUACCAAGAUGCUUGGCUAGCAGAUUUCUGUGAGGCUAGAACAGUCUACAGCAACAUGCCCCAUUUGAUAGCACCCGCAAGUGCAACAAGAUAAAGCAAGACCUUCAUAAUCCAAGAGCUGAGCACAAUAUAUGCUGUUAGGUCUUUCAAAAUGUCUAGCUCAACAGCUGUUCUUUUUGGACUUUUAGUACCAUAUUCGGCACUAGUGUCUUGUCUGUAAUCUUUUGCUCGUAUUGCUGAUCUAGUUGUAUCAGCCGGACUUGGUGCAUAGCACCAUAUAUCGUACCUGCUCUAUUGGUUUUCUUGGUAAUCGAUCUCUAAUUAAAAAAAAAAACCUAGAUCAACCUGAAUCUUCCUAGGGAGUUUUCAAUCGGUGCCAAGCAAGAGUCAAUCCAAUUUACUGAGCAUCAACUGAGAAACAUACACAACUAAAUUGAGACUAUCUUAUACGAAGAUGAUGGACAAACCCUGUUUCAUUAUAUGUUGAUUAAACUCUACCAUAAACUUAUCUUGUUCCGUUUAGAAUUCAUUUUUGUUUUCUAAUGUGGAGAUGCAUAAUAUUUUUCAUAUCAAAGGCUUUUAGGAUGUUACAGAAGGGCAUUAAUAACACUGCGUAAAAACUGAUUUGCAGGUUGAGAAAGCAUUAGGGAAAAUUUGAGAGUUCUAUGUAACUAAUUUAUACUAAUUUAAGCGGUAAUCUGAAAUACCAUGAAUGCAGUAAGUGUCAAUAGUAAAUUCACUACAAAGUUAAUGGAAUUAAAUAAAACGCAGUAUUCAAAGGUUCCAUCAAUAAUAAUACUGUUCAAGAUGUGAAAUUCUUACAAUUAUUCUAAUUUAUGAGGCUGAUUUGGGCGGAGUAUAAUUACAUUUGACUCAGUAGAAACAAUAGAGACAUAGGUGGAAGCAAUCAUCAGUGGAAGUAGAUCUAUUGGGUUCAAGUUUGUCCAAAUUCAUAUCCAUAUUUCUUCUUUGAUGCCAUGGUUUCCAACAUGCAUACUAAUUGCAAAAUUAGAUUGAAAAGAGCUAUGCUUCUGUGGAUGUUGGAACUUCCUGAGCGUGAUGCUGUUUUAGCACACAAAGGCAUUAAAAAGUGGAGUUCAAAAGACUGUUCUGGUAGAAAUUUUCUGCUCUCGAUCUCCAAGUGAACUGUUGCUGGUGAGAAAAGCAUAUCAUCUGAAGUAUAAAAAAUCUUUGGAAGAGGACAUUGCUUCACAUACAAGUGGGGAUUUCGAGAAGGUAUCCUAGUACCAUGUUGCCAUUAAUUCUUCAUGUCAAACCUAACUUCCAUUAAUGAAAUUGAACAUGAAGAGUUUCUAAGGCUUAAGAAAGAUAUAACUCUUAUGGUAAUGUUAUUUGGCAGAAAUGAGUUGGAUUUUGUAUAUGUUUGUAAACAUUAUGGAUUGUGGAGGCUUGAAUUCUUUACUUUUGUAUAUGUUUGUCAAUAUAAUAUUUUAAUGAUAUCAGUUUUCCACAAUCCUUAAUGUUCCAUGCUGCUGUUUCUAGAUUUGAUCAUAGUAACAUGUUGUCAUAACUUUAUUCCUGAACGGUUAUAUAGCUGUGAUGGUCUAAGUUGUAUAAUAAAUAUAUGAUGCAUUUGACAUCUUGAAAAUCCUAGCAUGAUACAAAUUCCACAAGUGUCUGUAAAUAUAUAUUAUCUAAUCUCUCAGUUAAAAUCAUAAGCACUUGUACUAUUUGCUGAUGCAAUUAAGA